CAUUAAUGAGGCGACUCCACUAGCAUCAACUAAACCGGUACGUACGACCUUUAGGGGAUCCAAAACACCAAUUUCAUUUAAAUCAACAAAACGAUCCUUAGCAAUAUCAUAACCGAUGUUAAAUUCCUUGCCAUAAAGCUCCUUAAGUUUACCAACAAUCAAGUUACCCUCUAAUCCAGCAUUUUCAAGAAUGGUUUGAGCGGGACGAGUGAUAGCUUUGCGAACAAUUUCGACGCCAAGCUUUUGAUCAAAGUUAUUUGUAGGAAUGUCUCCUAAGCGAAGACUAGCCUUAACAAAAGAGGUACCAGCACCUGGGAGAACACCCUCGGAAACAGCAGCCUUAACAGCAUUCAAUGCAUCAACAAUACGGUCUUUCUUCUCGUUGACUUCAACUUCACUGGAGCCUCCAACCUUAAUAACAGCAAUACCACCGCUCAAUUUGGCCAAUCUCUCUUGAAGCUUUUCUUUUUCGUAUUCAGUGAGAUUAGGGUCGGCCAUGACACCACGAAUCUGUUCACAACGGUCGUUAACUUUAACAUGGUCACCAGCACCUUUCAUAAUGAUAGUGUCUUCCUUGGUGACAGUUACAGAGCCACAGCUACCCAAAUGAUGGGGUUGAGCCUUUUCGAUGGAAACAUCAAUUUCAUCAUUGAACACGGCACUAUCAGUCAAGACGGCUAAAUCUCCAAGCAUAUUACGACGGUUGUCACCAAAGCCAGGGGCUUUAAUAGCAACAACUUGUAAUUGCCCACGAAGCUUGUUUAAGAUACAAGCAGCCAAAGCUUCACCAUCAACGUCCUCUGCGAUGAUAACUAAGGGACGACGCUGCUGAGCGGCAAGCUCCAAAGAGGGAAGAAUGUCUUGGACAGCAGACACUUUCUUUUCAGAAAGAAGAAUAAGAGGAUUUUCAAAUUCAACCUUUUGUGAUUUGACAUCGGUAAUAAAGUAAGGAGAAAUGUAACCACGAUCAAACUUCAUACCCUCAGUAACCUCUAAUUCGUCGCUUAUUGUGCGCCCUUCUUUGACGGUGAUAACGCCUUCUUUACCAACACGUUCCAUGGCUUUAGCAAGAAGCUCACCGAUAUGAGUGUCACCGUUAGCAGAGAUGGUAGCGACUUGGGAAAUCUCUUCAGAAGUAGUAAUAUCACGCUUAUUGGCUUGCAAAAAUUCGACGACGUUAUCAACAGCAAGUUGAAUUCCCCGGCGAAGGUCCAUAGGGUUGCAACCGGCAGCCACGUUACGAACAGUCUCAGAAAAGAUGGCACGAGUUAAAACAGUAGCAGUAGUGGUACCAUCACCAGCAACUUCAUUAGUCUUGCUUGCAACAUCCUGAACUAGUCUUGCACCAAGGUUUUCGAAUUUAUCUUUCAAACUUACACUACGGGCGACAGUUACACCGUCCUUAGUGAUUUUAGGGGAACCAAAAGGUUGGUCAAUCAAGACAUUACGGCCCUUUGGUCCCAAAGUUACAGAUACGGCACGAGCAAGAGUAUCGACACCGGUGAGUAAAGAUGCGCGAGCAUCAACACCAAAUUUUAAGUCUUUAGCAUAUGUACGAACUUGAGGGACGGCAAAUCUGCCGGGGAUUCGACGACCAGCAAUUCUUAAAGGUAGACGAGAUACACUGGAAGAAAGGAAGCUCACCAUUAUGUUUAAUUAAUGAAAUAAAAUGAAGUUGUAAAAAAUGGUUUUUUUUAAUGCACCCAAAAAGAGAUAUAAAGAAAUGUAAAGUUAUCUAACGCAAAU